GAAUAUUGCGCAAUGGACGAAAGUCUGACGCAGCGACGCCGCGUGGGUGAUGAAGGCCUUCGGGUCGUAAAGCCCUGUCGGAGGGGAAGAAGGACUCUCGUGCAAAUAGUUCGAGGGUUUGACGGUACCCUUAGAGGAAGCACCGGCUAACUCCGUGCCAGCAGCCGCGGUAAUACGGAGGGUGCAAGCGUUGCUCGGAAGUACUGGGCGUAAAGGGCGUGUAGGCGGUUUCGUAUGUCUGGCGUGAAAGCCCCGGGCUCACCUCGGGAAGUGCGUCGGAAACUGCGAGACUAGAGUUCCGGAGAGGGAGGUGGAAUUCCAGGUGUAGCGGUGAAAAGCGUAGAUAUCUGGAAGAACACCGGUGGCGAAAGCGGCCUCCUGGACGGUGACUGACGCUGAGACGCGAAAGCGUGGGGAGCAAACAGG
rnacentral:rRNA from 1 species